GGGCUUGUUAAGUGGAAGGACCUGGCCUUUGGAGUUUCAGCUGACCAGGAAUGAAGGGGUUAAGAGAAAUCACACCUCCCACUGGGAGGGCCCACUCGGGUGACUUUAGCAAAUUAGGGCCAGUUCUCCUCUAUGUCUGCCUUUGAUCUCAGGGUGACUUGUAGGAAGUGUUUUCUUGGCUUUGAUUCCAGAGAGGUGUCAGUCGCGGACUCCUGUGCCUGGUGACUGCGUCUCCUGGGCCCAGUCUCAUGCCCUGUCCUGGGCAGCUCUCCAUCCACCGGAAGGACGGACAAGGGAAUCGGAAUGACAGUGUAUCCAGGGAGACAGGCAGGAGGAGGGGCUGACUGAGGGCCCUGCCCAGGAACCUGUUGCCUCCAAAGACUCAUUACAAGGAGCAGUCAUGCAAGGUCCCCACCCCGCUCCCUGGAGAAAAGCAGGGGAUGGAGGUGUGUAGGUCAAGCUCAGCCGCUGCAAGGAGGAAAAAGUAGUGAACUUGGCAUCGCGACUUCCACAGAAGUCAUUUGCCUCCUGGGUUUCAGCUCCCCAGGGAGGUUCCAUGGGGAUGAAGGCUUGGUGGACACAGAUGACUGGUCCUGUUCCUAGUUGCCUCCUUGGCAUGGUACACACAGGAAGUGCAGAGUGAACAUUGUCGGGGUGUCGUCACGGGGCUGUAAAAUGCUAUGUCUCCCAGUUACAGGACUGAUGAGAUGUUAAUCUUGGGGCAGGACCCUAGAGCCCAGGCUGUGGCCCUGGGAGGAAGCCCCAUUGGAGGGCUGUGGAAGAUGGCUUGCUCAGCUCUGCCUGGUGGGUCCGUGACCAUGCUGGAAGUCUGGGGGCAAGUUCUGUGUGCUGGUUUGUGGGGGACACUGUUAAACCCAGUAAAGGGGGCAGGAAACAUGGGUUCCGACAAGCAGCCAUGGAUGCAGUCUCUUGUGACUUGACUUGUUCCCGGGCUUGUGUUUGGGUACUGGAAUCAGAAAGUCCAUUUUGGGGCUUCUUCCCAACUCUCUCUGAUGGGGGCCCAUCCCUUGAGCCCACACCUGCAGGCCUCAAGGUGGCUCAGGCAGGAGGAGCCUGGGAUUCUCCUCUGUGCACGGAGCUGGCACUGGCCGCCGGGCUGAGCUGUCGGCCGCAUCAGAAUGUGUUUGGAUCAUGUCACUGAAGGCUCCUCUUUGAAACGUCUCAGGGAAGAUCAAUGACUAAUUCUCACACGAGAGAGGCCCUCGCUCAAACACCACCCUUUGAGCUUGAUAGUUCUCCACUCCGGCUUUUAUGAUCCAGAUUAGUUUUCUUGAACUGUGGAAUACAAAUCGAUACAUUUCAGAGAAGGGCAGGAGGGCCCCUGGCAAGGGAUACGGACUGACGGGGGCCCGAUGGCAGACUUGAUGGGAGAAGAGCUGUCCUCAACUUUUAAUUGAGAAAGUGUCCAGGCCUGCUGGCCUUGCAGGUGGCCGUCUUUCCAUUUAGCGGGAGAAGCUGGAGGCUCAGCCCUGCGUUCCUGGGAGGCUAAUUUGUUUGGACAGAGUAAAGGGAUCUGAAUUCAAAUGUAAUGUAUUUGAGAUUAAAACCUCAUAAUGCCCCUUUGCAAACUCCAAGGCAGCCCCUGAGCUUGCUCUGAGCAUUGGAGAGGGCAGGGAGGCCAACUAGAGCUGUGGGCUUGGGGAAGUGCUUGCAAGUUUUCUGUCUGGCUCACAGCAGGUGAGCUGAACCCCAGUGCUGCGUUUUGUCUCAGGAGUGUGGAGUGAGCUGGAAAAGUAGGAGUAAGUGGCCGUGAGCCGGGCACAGCAGCCGCUCUUACUUCCUGAUUUGCAGAAACACAGUUUCGAGCAUCCGAGGCCUCUCUUGGGAGAUGUGUACUUCGUCCUUACACACCGUUUCGAGUCCGAUGUGGUGAGUUAUUAUUUUCUCAGAGCAGGUGACUCCCCUGGGAAUGUUUUAGAAGAUGACUCAGCUUCUUAUACUGAGAAUGACUCUGAGAACUUGGAGCCAAUCUCCCGGCGGGGGUCCCCAUGAUCAGCAGUGGGGCCAAUGCAGCUACACAGUCACCAGGUACCCGGUGCGUACCCUGUGGUUUCUGCAUCUCCUUUGUGACAAAUGGCCCGGACGCUGGAGGAAACAUCGAUUCUUCUGUGAUGAGAGGGGGAGAUGCCAAGUUUCUGCUGCAAAUGACAACUGCAGGCCGGGCCAGAGAAGAGGACAUUUAUUUGCAGAAGGCCAUCUCUGUGCCGGGCUUGGGGCAUCAGCAAUGGACAGGAUGGAUGUGCAGUGUGACCUCUUGGGGGUUGACAACAGGCAGAGAGAUGGCAAGACGGAGUCAAGGAAGAUGAAUUGUCCAGUCUCCACAGCCCUGAAAGACCAGGAACAAGACCUGGUCUCAUGAUCUU
rnacentral:lncRNA from 1 species